rnacentral:rRNA from 1 species
ACCUCCCCCAAUAGCUAGCCCACCUCAAAAUACAACAACCCACAUUAAUAACCCCGAACACAACAACAUCCUCAAAACAAACCAUUUUCCCGCCUAAGUAUCGGAGAUAGAAA